UGGGGAAUAUUGCACAAUGGGCGAAAGCCUGAUGCAGCGACGCCGCGUGAGGGAUGACGGCCUUCGGGUUGUAAACCUCUUUCAGUAGGGACGAAGCGCAAGUGACGGUACCUACAGAAGAAGCACCGGCCAACUACGUGCCAGCAGCCGCGGUAAUACGUAGGGUGCGAGCGUUGUCCGGAUUCACUGGGCGUAAAGAGCUCGUAGGCGGUUUGUCACGUCGUCGGUGAAAACCCGAGGCUUAACCUCGGGCCUGCAGGCGAUACGGGCAGACUUGAGUACUGUAGGGGAGACUGGAAUUCCUGGUGUAGCGGUGGAAUGCGCAGAUAUCAGGAGGAACACCGGUGGCGAAGGCGGGUCUCUGGGCAGUAACUGACGCUGAGGAGCGAAAGCGUGGGUAGCGAACAGG
rnacentral:rRNA from 1 species